rnacentral:rRNA from 1 species
GCUGGCGGCAGGCCUAACACAUGCAAGUCGAGCGGAAACGAUGGAAGCUUGCUUCCAGGCGUCGAGCGGCGGACGGGUGAGUAAUGCAUAGGAAUCUGCCCGGUAGUGGGGGAUAACUUGGGGAAACCCAAGCUAAUACCGCAUACGCCCUACGGGGGAAAGCAGGGGAUCUUCGGACCUUGCGCUAUCGGAUGAGCCUAUGUCGGAUUAGCUAGUUGGUGAGGUAAUGGCUCACCAAGGCCGCGAUCCGUAGCUGGUCUGAGAGGAUGAUCAGCCACAUCGGGACUGAGACACGGCCCGAACUCCUACGGGAGGCAGCAGUGGGGAAUAUUGGACAAUGGGCGAAAGCCUGAUCCAGCCAUGCCGCGUGUGUGAAGAAGGCCCUCGGGUUGUAAAGCACUUUCAGUGAGGAAGAACGCUUGUGGGUUAAUACCCUGCAAGGAAGACAUCACUCACAGAAGAAGCACCGGCUAACUCCGUGCCAGCAGCCGCGGUAAUACGGAGGGUGCGAGCGUUAAUCGGAAUUACUGGGCGUAAAGCGCGCGUAGGCGGCUUGAUAAGCCGGUUGUGAAAGCCCCGGGCUCAACCUGGGAACGGCAUCCGGAACUGUCAGGCUAGAGUGCAGGAGAGGAAGGUAGAAUUCCCGGUGUAGCGGUGAAAUGCGUAGAGAUCGGGAGGAAUACCAGUGGGCGAAGGCGGCCUUCUGGACUGACA